CCUACGGGAUGCUGCAGUGGGGAAUAUUGGACAAUGGGCGAAAGCCUGAUCCAGCCAUGCCGCGUGUGUGAAGAAGGCCUUCGGGUUGUAAAGCACUUUCAGUGGGGAAGAAAGCCUUGGGGCUAAUACCCUCGAGGAAGGACAUCACCCACAGAAGAAGCACCGGCUAACUCCGUGCCAGCAGCCGCGGUAAUACGGAGGGUGCGAGCGUUAAUCGGAAUUACUGGGCGUAAAGCGCGCGUAGGCGGUCUGAUAAGCCGGUUGUGAAAGCCCCGGGCUCAACCUGGGAACGGCAUCCGGAACUGUCAGGCUAGAGUGCAGGAGAGGAAGGUAGAAUUCCCGGUGUAGCAGUGAAAUGCGUAGAGAUCGGGAGGAAUACCAGUGGCGAAGGCGGCCUUCUGGACUGACACUGACGCUGAGGUGCGAAAGCGUGGGUAGCAAACAGGAUUAGAUACCCGAGUAGUC
rnacentral:rRNA from 1 species